AGCAUAAUCAUUUGUCUUUUAAUUAAGGGCUGGAAUGAAAGGUUGGACGAGGUAUUAACUUUCUUUGAUUUAAUUUUUGAAUUUAAUUUUUAGGUGAAAAAGCUUAAAUUUUUUUGUUGGACGAGAAGACCCUAUAGAUCUUUAUAUUUUAAUUAAUUGUAAUAUUUAGUGAUUAAUUUUUUAUGAUUAUAAGGAAUAUUUGAUUGGGGUGAUUAUAGAAUUUAAAUAACUUCUGUUAUUAAUUAUCAUUAAUUAAUGUUUUUAUGAUCCAUUAGUAUUGAUUAUAAGAUUAAGUUACCUUAGGGAUAACAGCGUAAUUUCUACGGAGAGUUCAUAUCGAUGUAGGGGUUUGCGACCUCGAUGUUGGAUUAAAAUUAGUUUUGGAUGCAGUAGUUCAGUGACUAGGUCUGUUCGACCUUUUAAUUUUUACAUGAUC
rnacentral:rRNA from 1 species